rnacentral:rRNA from 1 species
CUCCUCUUGGUAAAUAAGAGGUACCAUCUGCCCAAUGCAACAUUUGUAAAUGGCCGCAGUAUUCUGACUGUGCUAAGGUAGCAUAAUCAUUAGUCUUUUAAUUGAAGGCUGGUAUGAAUGAUGAGACGAGAAAAAAGCUGUCUCAAGAAUAUUUUUUUGAAUUUUAUUUUUAGGUGAAAAAGCCUAAAUAAUUUUGAAGGACGAUCAGACCCUUUGGAGCUUUAUUUAUUCAUAAGUUUUAAUCAAUUUUAAAUAAUUAAAUUUAUGAAUAAAUUUUGUUGGGGCGACAGAGAGUUGAAAAUAACACUCUCUUUUUUAAACAAAAAUAAUUGAAUAAUUGAUCCUUAAUGAGAGAUUAAAAGACUAAGUUACCCUAGGGAUAACAGCGUAAUCUUUCUGGAGAGUUCUAAUCGAUAGAAAGGUUUGCGACCUCGAUGUUGGAUUAAGAGAUUGGCAAGGUGUAGAAGUUUUGCUGGAGAGUGCUGUUCGACUUU